GAGGGUGAUCGGCCACAUUGGAACUGAGACACGGUCCAAACUCCUACGGGAGGCAGCAGUGGGGAAUAUUGCACAAUGGGCGAAAGCCUGAUGCAGCAACGCCGCGUGAGUGAUGAAGGCCUUCGGGUCGUAAAACUCUGUCCUCAAGGAAGAUAAUGACGGUACUUGAGGAGGAAGCCCCGGCUAACUACGUGCCAGCAGCCGCGGUAAUACGUAGGGGGCUAGCGUUAUCCGGAUUUACUCGGCGUAAAGGGUGCGUCGGCGGUCCUUCAAGUCAGGAGCGAAAGGCUACGGCUCAACCGCAGUAAGCUCUUGAAACUGGGAGACUUGCGUGCCGGAGAGGAGAGUGGAAUUCCUAGUGUAGCGGUGAAAUGCGUAGAUAUUAGGAGGAACACCAGUUGCGAAGGCGGCUCUCUGGACUGUAACUGACGCUGAGGCACGAAAGCGUGGGGAGCAAACAGGAUUAGAUACCCUGGUAGUCCACGCUGUAAACGAUGAGUACUAGGUGUCGGGGGUUACCCCCCUCGGUGCCGCAGCUAACGCAUUAAGUACUCCGCCUGGGAAGUACGCUCGCAAGAGGGAAACUCAAAGGAAUUGACGGGGACCCGCACAAGUAGCGGAGCAUGUGGUUUAAUUCGAAGCAACGCGAAGAACCUUACCUAAGCUUGACAUCCCAAUGACAUCUCCUUAAUCGGAGAGUUCCCUUCGGGGACAUUGGUGACAGGUGGUGCAUGGUUGUCGUCAGCUCGUGUCGUGAGAUGUUGGGUUAAGUCCCGCAACGAGCGCAACCCUUGUCUUUAGUUGCCAUCAUUAAGUUGGGCACUCUAGAGAGACUGCCAGGGAUAA
rnacentral:rRNA from 1 species